UACAGGGGGUGCAAACGUUGCUCGGAAUCAUUGGGCGUAAAGCGCACGUAGGCGGUUCGUUAUGUCGGAUGUGAAAGCCCUUGGCUUAACCGAGGAAGUGCAUCCGAAACUGGCGAGCUAGAGUACUAAAGAGGAUCGCGGAAUUCCCGGUGUAGAGGUGAAAUGCGUAGAUAUCGGGAGGAAUACCUAUGGCGAAAGCAGGCUUCUGGGCUAUCACUGACGCUGAUCUGCGAAAGCUAGGGGAGCAAACAGG
rnacentral:rRNA from 1 species